GUANGGUGCGAGCGUUAAUCGGAAUUACUGGGCGUAAAGCGUGCGCAGGCGGUUCGUUGUGUCGGCGGUGAAAGCCCCGGGCUUAACCUGGGAAUGGCCGUCGAAACUGGCGAACUGGAGUGUGGCAGAGGGGGGUGGAAUUCCGCGUGUAGCAGUGAAAUGCGUAGAGAUGCGGAGGAACACCGAUGGCGAAGGCAGCCCCCUGGGCUGACACUGACGCUCAGGCACGAAAGCGUGGGGAGCAAACAGGAUUAGAUACCCUGGUAGUCCACGCCCUAAACGAUGUCGACUGGGUGUUGGGGAAGCGAUUUCCCAGUACCGUAGCUAACGCGUGAAGUCGACCGCCUGGGGAGUACGGCCGCAAGGUUA
rnacentral:rRNA from 1 species